rnacentral:rRNA from 16 species
UAUUAAAGUUGUUGCAGUUAAAAAGCUCGUAGUUGAAACUUGGGCCUGGCUGGCGGGUCCGCCUCACCGCGUGCACUCGUCCGGCCGGGCCUUCCUUCUGAAGAACCUCAUGCCCUUCACUGGGCGUGCUGGGGAAUCAGGACUUUUACUUUGAAAAAAUUAGAGUGUUCAAAGCAGGCCUUUGCUCGAAUACGUUAGCAUGGAAUAAUAAAAUAGGGCGUGCGUUUCUAUUUUGUUGGUUUCUAGAGACGCCGCAAUGAUUAACAGGAACAGUCGGGGGCAUCAGUAUUCCGUUGUCAGAGGUGAAAUUCUUGGAUUUACGGAAGACUAACUACUGCGAAAGCAUUUGCCAAGGAUGUUUUCAUUAAUCAGUGAACGAAAGUUAGGGGAUCGAAGACGAUCAGAUACCG